AUUGAACGCUGGCGGCAUGCCUUACACAUGCAAGUCGAACGGUAACAGGUCUUCGGAUGCUGACGAGUGGCGAACGGGUGAGUAAUACAUCGGAACGUGCCUAGUAGUGGGGGAUAACUACUCGAAAGAGUGGCUAAUACCGCAUGAGAUCUACGGAUGAAAGCAGGGGAUCGCAAGACCUUGUGCUACUAGAGCGGCCGAUGGCAGAUUAGGUAGUUGGUGGGAUAAAAGCUUACCAAGCCGACGAUCUGUAGCUGGUCUGAGGGGACGAACAGCUACACUGGGACUGAGACACGGCCCAGACUCCUACGGGAGGCAGCAGUGGGGAAUUUUGGACAAUGGGCGAAAGCCUGAUCCAGCAAUGCCGCGUGCAGGAUGAAGGCCUUCGGGUUGUAAACUGCUUUUGUACGGAACGAAAAGCCCCGGGUUAAUACCCUGGGGUCAUGACGGUACCGUAAGAAUAAGCACCGGCUAACUACGUGCCAGCCGCCGCCGUAA
rnacentral:rRNA from 1 species